rnacentral:lncRNA from 1 species
AUUGGUGCACAUACGCGUGCUAGUACGACCAAUAAAUAUCAUCUACUGAAACUACAGUUGUUGGUAGGUUCACCAGUUCAUCCUCCUGUUAUUUCAACACACCAGACGACUCCAUUACUGCAACUUCGUCCUUCUUCCUAAUCUCCUCGCAAGGACCCCCACUACCAUCAACCUCAAUCCCUACAUAUUUUGCCAUUAUUGUUCUAGAUUUCUGAAAUGGAGGUCGACACCAGCCCCCAUACACAUACAACCUUCGAUCGAACCCCAAAACAACCACCAUAUCCUCUAUACUCCGACGAACAUCACCGUUCAUUAAAACUUGAUCACGAAAAUUCCAAUAUGGGAGCGUCCUUGUUUUCCACUCUCAACCCCAGCAUUCAGCCUCCGUCACCGGCGGCGGAUGUUAAAUGUCAAAGCCCUACCUAUCACUCCGACGCCGCUAUGAAGCUUCAAAAGGUC